CCAUGCGUACCAUUAGUUAGUUGGUGGGGUAACGGCCCACCAAGGCAGCGAUGGUUAGGGGCCCUGAGAGGGGGAUCCCCCACACUGGUACUGAGACACGGACCAGACUCCUACGGGAGGCAGCAGUGAGGAAUAUUGGACAAUGGGCGGGAGCCUGAUCCAGCCAUGCCGCGUGCAGGAUGACGGCCCUAUGGGUUGUAAACUGCUUUUAUACGGGAAGAAAUGCGCCCACGUGUGGGCGUCUGACGGUACCGUAAGAAUAAGGACCGGCUAACUCCGUGCCAGCAGCCGCGGUAAUACGGAGGGUCCGAGCGUUAUCCGGAAUCAUUGGGUUUAAAGGGUCCGUAGGCGGGCCUGUAAGUCAGGGGUGAAAGUUUGUGGCUCAACCAUAAAAUUGCCUUUGAUACUGCAGGUCUUGAGUCAUGGUGGGGUCGCCGGAACAUGUGGUGUAGCGGUGAAAUGCAUAGAUAUCACAUAGAACACCGAUCGCGAAGGCAGGUGGCCAACCAUGUACUGACGCUGAUGGACGAAAGCGUGGGUAGCGAACGGGAUUAGAUACCCCGGUAGUCCACGCCGUAAACGAUGGAUACUAGCUGUGGGGACUUCGGUCUCCGUGGCCAAGCGAAAGUGAUAAGUAUCCCACCUGGGGAGUACGUUCGCAAGAAUGAAACUCAAAGGAAUUGACGGGGGCCCGCACAAGCGGUGGAGCAUGUGGUUUAAUUCGAUGAUACGCGAGGAACCUUACCAGGGCUUA
rnacentral:rRNA from 1 species